AAAGUUAGCUAGACAAUCGCUGUUUAAUACAGAGGAAAGUCCGGGCCCUAAAGAGCAAGAUGCCAGGUAAUUCCUGGGAGGAGUGAUCCUACGACUAGUGCAACAGAAAAAAAACCGCCACUUUUGUUGGUAAGGGUGAAAAGGUGCGAUAAGAGCGUACCGCAAUUUAUGGUAACAUAAUUGGCAGUGUAAACUCCAUCUAGGGCAAGGCCAAAUAAAAGCUUGAUUGCUCGUCUUUAAGCUUUGGUAGGCUGCAAGAAUAAAUAUGUGAAUGUUUAUCUAGAUAAAUGAUUGUCCAAGACAGAACCCGGCUUACAGCUAACUUUAUUU
rnacentral:RNase_P_RNA from 2 species